GGAGAGAUGCCGGAGUGAACGAUCGGACCGCACUCGAAAUGCGGCAUACGGGUAACCGUAUCCAGGGUUUGAAUCCCUGUCUCUCCG
rnacentral:tRNA from 1 species